rnacentral:rRNA from 1 species
UACGAAGGGUGCAAGCGUUAAUCGGAAUUACUGGGCGUAAAGCGCGCGUAGGUGGUUCAGUAAGUUGGAAGUGAAAUCCCCGGGCUCAACCUGGGAACUGCUUCCAAAACUGCUGAGCUAGAGUACGGUAGAGGGUGGUGGAAUUUCCUGUGUAGCGGUGAAAUGCGUAGAUAUAGGAAGGAACACCAGUGGCGAAGGCGACCACCUGGACUGAUACUGACACUGAGGUGCGAAAGCGUGGGGAGCAAACAGG